UACGGGGGGGGCAAGCGUUGUUCGGAAUUACUGGGCGUAAAGGGCUCGUAGGCGGCCAACUAAGUCAGACGUGAAAUCCCUCGGCUUAACCGGGGAACUGCAUCUGAUACUGGAUGGCUUGAGAUUGGGAGAGGGAUGCGGAAUUCCAGGUGUAGCGGUGAAAUGCGUAGAUAUCUGGAGGAACACCGGUGGCGAAGGCGGCGUUCUGGACUGCAACUGACACUGAGGAGCGAAAGCAUGGGGAGCGAACAGG
rnacentral:rRNA from 1 species